UACGAAGGGGGCUAGCGUUGCUCGGAAUCACUGGGCGUAAAGGGUGCGUAGGCGGGUCUUUAAGUCCGGGGGGAAAUCCUGGAGCUCAACUCCAGAACUGCCUUUGAUACUGAAGGUCUUGAGUUCGGGAGAGGUGAGUGGAACUGCGAGUGUAGAGGUGAAAUUCGUAGAUAUUCGCAAGAACACCAGUGGCGAAGGCGGCUCACUGGCCCGAUACUGACGCUGAGGCACGAAAGCGUGGGGAGCAAACAGG
rnacentral:rRNA from 1 species